rnacentral:rRNA from 1 species
UACGAAGGGGGCUAGCGUUGCUCGGAAUUACUGGGCGUAAAGGCGCGUAGGCGGAUAGUUCAGUCGGGGGUGAAAGCCCGGGGCUCAACCUCGGAACUGCCUUCGAUACUGGCUAUCUUGAGUACGGGAGAGGUGUGUGGAACUCCGAGUGUAGAGGUGAAAUUCGUAGAUAUUCGGAAGAACACCAGUGGCGAAGGCGACACACUGGCCCGAUACUGACGCUCAUGUGCGAAAGCGUGGGGAGCAAACAGG